rnacentral:misc_RNA from 1 species
GAUGAAGAACGUAUUGAAAUGCGAUAAGUAGUGUGAAUUGCAGAAUUCAGUGAAUCAUCGAAUCUUUGAACGCACAUUGCGCCCCUUGGUAUCCCGAGGGGCAUGCCUGUUCGAGCGUCAUUUCACCACUCAAGCCUGGCUUGGUGUUGGGCGACGUCCUCUUUGGGGACGCGCCUCGAAACGCUCGGCGGCGUGGCACCGGCUUUAAGCGUAGCAGAAUCUUUCGCUUUGGAAGUCGGGGCCCCGUCUGCCGGAAGACCUGCUCGCAAGGUUGACCUCGGAUCAGGCAGGGAUACCCGCUGAACUUAAGCAUAUCAAUAAGCGGAGGA